UACGAAGGGUGCAAGCGUUACUCGGAAUUACUGGGCGUAAAGCGUGCGUAGGUGGUUCGUUAAGUCUGAUGUGAAAGCCCUGGGCUCAACCUGGGAAUGGCAUUGGAUACUGGCGACCUAGAGUGCGGUAGAGGGUAGUGGAAUUCCUGGUGUAGCGGUGAAAUGCGCAGAUAUCAGGAAGAACACCAAUGGCGAAGGCAGCUCUCUGGGACGGUACUGACGCUGAGACGCGAAAGCGUGGGGAGCGAACAGG
rnacentral:rRNA from 1 species